GACGAACGCUGGCGGCGUGCUUAACACAUGCAAGUCGAACGGAAAGGCCCCUUUGGGGGUACUCGAGUGGCGAACGGGUGAGUAACACGUGAGUAACCUGCCCUUGACUUCGGGAAACUUCAGGAAACUGGGGCUAAUACCGGAUAGGAAUCCUUGCUGCAUGGUGGGGGUUGGAAAGCUUCGGCGGUUUUGGAUGGACUCGCGGCUUAUCAGCUUGUUGGUGGGGUAGUGGCUUACCAAGGCUUUGACGGGUAGCCGGCCUGAGAGGGCGACCGGCCACAUUGGGACUGAGAUACGGCCCAGACUCCUACGGGAGGCAGCAGUGGGGAAUAUUGCACAAUGGGCGGAAGCCUGAUGCAGCAACGCCGCGUGCGGGAUGACGGCCUUCGGGUUGUAAACCGCUUUCAGCAGGGGCGAAGCUUGUGGUGACGGUACCUGCAGAAGAAGCACCGGCUAACUACGUG
rnacentral:rRNA from 1 species